UGUGAAUCGUGAUAUCUGAGAUGUGGGAGCAUGGUUGGAUGUUGGCAUGUGUGAAUGCCAUCCAGUAUCGGGCUAGAGGUAUCAUAUCCAACCAUCAAAUGUUCACCGGUGCACCGCUAGCGUUAGUCUGAAAGUGUCUACCAGGAAGACACACAACCUCCUCAAUUUCAGCUACAUUACCAGACAAACCAGCAUGUGCCACAUACUGGCACUGCUCCCCUGGCCACUCUGUUCCCAAGAAGCUGUUAAUGGUAUCGGGGUCAUAACUGAUAGUCUGCCCCCUCACAAAGCUGAAAUAUCGUCCAACAGCCACUCCUCCUCUGGGCACCGUGCAAGGUAGGUUGUCUACCUCUCUCAGUCUCUCCUCAAAAUCUCCUCUUCAAAUUCAGGAGCUAAAUCAGGUAUGAAGGAAGCCUUCCUUUCCAUUAGCAACCUCCUUUCUUGCACAGUAGCAUAGUGCUCCUCAUGUUGUUUGGAGAGGAAUCUUUGAGAGUCAAAUCCUCUCGAGCUUUCUGGCAUCUUCCUUUUUCCUCCAGUAUUUCUUGCCCGGCGCGAUGCUGAUGCCAUUUUUGAGUGGAGAUAUGAAUGCUUGCAACAAAUCCUUCAAUGAAUGCUUGAAGACUCUAAAUGCACACUCCCACCAAGAAAAACCCCAAAUAUGAGCAAGAACAAAGCUUUUUGUGAGUGGGUGAUGAGAAAGUGUAUAGAAAUCUCUUUAAAACCCUCUUGGAAGUGCAAAUCUGGAGCAAAGGAGCAAGGAGACCGCCAGGCAAAACUCAAAGGGGCAAGGCAAAGUGAAGAAAGCUUGGAAACACCGAACUUUUAAAAGCUUCGGGUUUUACUUUCCGCCGCCACCACCCAGCGGUAAGGUGGUACUGCCCGG
rnacentral:lncRNA from 1 species